rnacentral:tRNA from 1 species
GGUAAGGAGGCUGAAGUGGUAGGCGAUGAAUUGUAAGUUCACCGUAUGAGGGUUUGACUCCCUCCCUUAUCA